GCACUUUCAGUCGUGAGGAAGGUAGUGUAGUUAUAGCUGCAUAUUUGACGUUAGCGACAGAAGAAGCACCGGCUAACUCCGUGCCAGCAGCCGCGGUAAUACGGAGGGUGCGAGCGUUAAUCGGAAUUACUGGGCGUAAAGCGCAUGCAGGUGGUUUGUUUAAGUUCAGAUGUGAAAGACCCGGGGCGUCAACCUCGGAAUAGCAUUUGAAACUGGCAGACUAGAGUACUGUAGAGGGGGGUAGGAAGUUUCAGGUGUAGCGGUGAAAUGCGUAGAGAUCUGAAGGAAUACCGGUGGCGAAGGCGGCCCCCUCGGACAGAUACUGACACUCAGAUGCGAAAGCGUGGGGAGCAAACAGGAUUAGAUACCCCUGGUAG
rnacentral:rRNA from 1 species